GUGUCAGCAGCCGCGGUAAUACGAAGGGGGCUAGCGUUGUUCGGAAUUACUGGGCGUAAAGCGCACGUAGGCGGAUUUGUAAGUCAGGGGUGAAAUCCCGGGGCUCAACCUCGGAACUGCCUUUGAUACUGCAAGUCUCGAGUCCGAUAGAGGUGAGUGGAAUUCCUAGUGUAGAGGUGAAAUUCGUAGAUAUUAGGAAGAACACCAGUGGCGAAGGCGGCUCACUGGAUCGGUACUGACGCUGAGGUGCGAAAGCGUGGGGAGCAAACAGGAUUAGAUACCCCCGUAGUCC
rnacentral:rRNA from 1 species